AAACCAACAUAACACCCCAUAACUUGUGAGUCUUUUCCUCUCCCCUCUAUCAAUAAUGACAAUGGUCUUGGAUUUCUUUGUCUCAAAAUUUAUAGCAGCAACAACCAACAUGAUGGAGACAGAGAUCUUUAAGGUGCUCGGUGUUAAUAAGGAGAUUAAAACCCUUCAAGAAAGGUUGGGGGCAAUCAAUGGAUAUCUCCGCCAGGCAGAGCGAAAGAGGCACGGGAAUGAUGAAAUUGAUUUAUGGGUGAGGAAGUUGAAGGACAUCAUGUAUGAUAUUGAUGAUGUUAUUGAUCUCUGUAUGAUUGAAGGGGGGAAGUUAUUGAAAUCUCAAGCCUUGUCGAGUUCAACGACUGUAAGCAUCCCUUUCAAUUAUCUCUUUUCAUGCUUUCAAUGUCUUAAAUAUCGCCAUGAUAUUGCUAACCAAAUUAUAGCAUUGAAUAGUAAGUUAGAAGAUCUUAAAAAUGAUACAUUCAUAAAAAAUAAUUUGGAUUGGGUAACAAAAGAACAAGUUGAAUAUGUUAAUAGAGUGAUCACAUAUGAGACAUCUCACCUACAAAUUGAAGGAGAUGUCAUAGGAACACAAAUAGAAAUUGCUAUUGAGACACUAAUUGAUUGGAUACUUAAGAAUAAUCCAAACAAGUGUCGUGUUUUUGGAGUUGUGGGAACCGGGGGAAUUGGAAAGAGCACUCUAGCAGGCAAAAUAUUCGAGGAUGAAAGGAUUAAAGAUUAUUUUCCAAAUAGAAAAUGGUUGUAUGUUUCUAAAAAUUAUAUGGAAUCUGAUUUAUUAAAAAAGUUGAUUAAGUUUGGAGAAGGAAGUGAAACCAAAGGAGAAUACCUCGAAGGAAAAAGUAAAGCAGAAUUAGAAAAUAUAUUGGUGUCAGUUCUCACACAAAAUACUUUCAUUGUGUUAGAUGAUGUAUGGAAUUCAUCUGUGUGGGUAGAUUUCUUGAGAAAACCUAUAAUGAAAAGUGCUUCAAGUUGUACCGUCUUGGUUACCACUAGAAAAGAAAAUAUUGUAAAACUAAUGAAGCCUACAUAUAUCCACCUAGUUGAAAAAAUGGAUGAAGAAAGUGGUUGGAAUUUGCUUAAACAUUUAGUGUUUGAAGGUGAAGGAGAUGAAGAUGAGAUAUCGAGUUUUGAAGAAAUAGGAAUUAAACUUGUCAAUAAAUGUGAUGGUUUGCCCCUUGCAAUUAAAGCCAUUGCGGGGGUUCUAUACCAACAAAACAAAGCAAGAUGGGUGGAAGUUCUCCAAAGUGAUGCAUGGAACAUGAAUCAAAUUGAGGAAGAACUGAGGCCUUUAUAUUUGAGCUACGAAGACUUACCAUCUAGUUUAAGACAAUGUUUUCUCUAUUGCUCUUUGUACCCUCAAAAAUAUAUGUUUUCUAAAGAGGUUAUUCAGUUUUGGAUCGCCGAAGGUCUUAUUAUGGAUGAACAAGAUAAGUUGAGGAUGGAUCUUCCAACUGAAAAGUUGAGAACAAUGGAAGAUAUAGGGGAUGAGAUUUACAGGGAGUUACUUGGUAGGAAUCUCUUAGAAGCCAAUGAAUAUGAAGAGUCCAAGAAUUUCUUCUCAAUGCACGAUCACUUCAGAUCACUCUGUGCAAAUUUAAUGAGAGAGGAAGGGAUUUUAUAUCGACAUGGUAGAGAAUUCAAAGCAGGUGAUAUUGUGAAAAUUCGGCGGCUGUCCGUCUCUUAUAUGGGGCCUAACCUAGUGUUACCAGAUCAGAUUAUAAGACAAGCUUGUUUGAGAACUCUAAUUCUCACUGACUCCCCUAAAACCAAGACAAUCGAAGAUCGUGUUCUGCAAGCAUUACCGUGUUUGCGAGUUUUGGAUCUCACAAAAACAUCAAUUGAAAAGAUUCCAGAUUGCAUUGGAGAUCUAUUGCAUUUAAGAUAUCUAGAUCUCGAUGGAACAAAUAUUCGUGAGAUUCCAACAACUAUCGGGAACCUUGUAAACCUUCAGAGUCUGAAUAUCUCAGACUGUGAGUUCUUGGAAAGACUUCCUGUGUCCAUCACUAAGUUGCAUAAUCUAAGAUCGCUUAACAUGAAUGAUUGUCCACUGCUCACUUAUGUGCCCAAGGGAAUUGGGAAGCUGGAAAAUUUCUAUAGCCUUGACGGAUUUAUCGUCGGACAGAAUGACUCGGCCUCUGAAGAAGGUUGUGAUUUGGAAGAGCUGAAAAAUCUAUCCGAGUUGAGAAUCUUAAGCAUUUAUAGGCUUGAUAGAGCAGCAGGAGGAGCCUCUGCACUUGCAAACAAGCCUUUUCUUAAAGUGCUUAUGCUGAGUUGGAUGCAACCAGAUGAGGAGGAGGAGGAGGAGGAUGGUAGAUGGGUAGAGGUUAAAGCCAAUGAAGAAGCAGAUGGUGAUGGCAAGGAUGAUGGCUCUGGACAAGGAACUGAAAUUAAAGAGGAAGAAGAAGACGUAAAUGAGGAGGUGGAGCGUGAGGAAGAAGAAAAAGGAUGGAGUGAGGAGCAAAUCAGUAAAGCCGAGAGGAUAUGCAAUGAAAUGGCUCAACCUUCAUCAACCUUGUUCCAACUUCACUUGGGUGAGUACCCUGGCCGACAGUUCCCGAGUUGGAUGGCAUCCUCUUCCUUGGCCGAAUCUUUUCCAAACUUGGCAUAUUUGAAUCUUUUUGGUUUGCCGUGUUGUGCGGAGCUCCUUCCCUUGGGCACACUGCCUCAGCUCAAGUACCUCCGUAUUAAAAGUGCAAGCGCCAUAACUACCAUUGGGUCCCAAUUUCUCGGAUCGAGAAGCUCUGCAUUUCCCAAACUCCAAGUGCUUAUAUUUAAUGACAUGCCCGCGUGGGAGGAGUGGACAUUCAAUGGAACACCUCUUGCAGUGAAGUUGUUUCCAAGUCUCAGGGAAUGUGUUAUUAUUGACUGCCCAGAGCUAAGAGCACUUCCUGAGGGCCUCCACCGAGCCACCAACCUCUACCGAGUGUGCUUGCGCCAAACAUAUGAGCUAGGUGAGAUCGAGAACCUCACCUUGGCUUACAGGCUCGAGGUCACAAAUGGCAUAGGGUUGAAGAAGAUAUCCAACAUCCCGUCAUUAAGAUAUCUUCGUGUGGGUAACUGUCCCAACUUAGAGUGCGUGGAGAAUCUCGGCAAGCUGCAGCAUUUGGUGGUGAUUUAUUCAGUGGAAACGGAGCAGCUCCCGCAGUGGCUACGGGGCUUGAUCGAGCAGCAUAACAACACGGCAAGCACUCACAGGAGUUUCAGGAAAUUCGAGAUGCACUGCAAUCUGUCACUGCUGAAGAGCUGUCUAGAGGGCAAUGAGAAUUGGGACAUCGUCAAGCAAAUUCCCAAUGUCAAAGUCCAAACAUAUUCCGGCCAAGAGUACAUGCGAUACACCAAGGAUCCCUACAACUAUGAUGCAAAUAUUCCUUCUAAUUAAGAUGGUGUCAAUCAAAGUUACACAAACUUGAUGCUUUCUUCAAUUGUACUGGUGAAAGUGUGAUUUGUAUGGUGGUGUUUGCAUUUGCAAGUCUCCUCUCAGGUUGAGAAGCAAUCCAGUGGCUUAUUUUAACAUGCAGCAGGAUGGCAUUCUCUCGGAGAAACAAGUCAAUUUGUGAAGAGCAACUGAUGGAUGGAAGAUGCGCAGUUGCAGAAAAGGCUGAGACAAGUGAUGAAAGAAGCCCUCAAUCUGCAGGAAUAGUUGGGAUGAAUGUGCCAGUUCUUCCAUCGUGCACAUCCAAACUAUCUCCGCUUUGUGGCCCGCGACUUCAAUUGAGAUCCAGGCUUUCUGGGACUGCAACGAAUAUGAAGCUGAGACAAGUUCUGAAGUGGAAACUGAGCACUUUUGCCAGCAACUUCAAAAGCGAUUUUACCGUUUACCACUUGUGAAUGAGGACAAGAAUCCUGUUACUUGUAUAGAUGGAUCAGAUCAGAGCCCGUGGCUGGCGCCGUUGGUUAAUUGCCGGAUGGUAUUGGCUCAUGAGAAGGAUGGUUAGAGUUCGG